UGUGAAUUGCAGAAUUCAGUGAAUCAUCGAAUUUUUGAACGCAUAUUGCGCCCCUUGGUAUUCCAUGGGGCAUGCCUGUUCGAGCGUCA
rnacentral:rRNA from 1 species